AGCAGCCGCGGUAAUUCCAGCUCCAAUAGCGUAUAUUAAAGUUGUUGCAGUUGAAAAGCUCGUAGUUGAAUUUCGGGAUCAAUUUAUCGGUCGUGCCAAUGGUAUGAACUGGUACAAUUGGUUUCUCCCUUCUGACGAAGCAUGAUGUCAUUAAUUUGGUGUCGUGGGGAAUCGGGACUGUUACUUUGAAAAAAUUAGAGUGUUUAAAGCAAGCAUUAGCUUGAAUACAUUAGCAUGGAAUAAUGAAAUAGGACGUUUGAUCCUAUUUCGUUGGUUUCUAGGAUCGACGUAAUGAUUAAUAGGGAUAGUUGGGGGCAUUAGUAUUCAAUUGUCAGAGGUGAAAUUCUUGGAUUUAUUGAUGACUAACUACUGCGAAAGCAUUUGCCAAGGAUGUUUUCAUUAAUCAAGAACGAAAGUUAGGGGAUCGAAGACGAUCAGAUACCGUCGUAGUCUUAACCAUAAACUAUGCCGACUAGGGAUCGGAUGAUGUUAAUUUUUUAAUGACUCA
rnacentral:rRNA from 1 species